ensembl:lncRNA
CUGUCAGCUGCGAGGGCCGGACUUGUCCUUCUUCCUUGAAGCUCUUGGAGAAUCAACCUGAGAACAGCGAGAAAAUCAGUCUGUCAUUAGCCACCACUUGUGGUUAGAUUGUGGCAGGCUUGGAGAAGGCAAUGGGAGCCACUGACCCCGGAGCUGCUGUGUGCGGCAGCCCCAAAGGACUGGAAGUCAGCUCCCGGGUUCUGUGCCCGGCACCUGGCCUUCCGCGGGCCAUAAAACAGCAGUUUCCGGCCUGCUGGUUGGAACAGUGACUGUUACAACAUCCACAGCAGAAACUCAGUGUGCAGCCCAGGCUGGCCUUGAACUUGCAGCAAUCCUCCUGCCUCAGCCUCCCAAGUGCUGGGAUUACAGGAGGAGCCGCUGGGUUUGCACCCGGGAAGGGCUUCACACACGUCUUGGCCACCGAGGCUCCAGGUGUGGGGUCUGCAGCCAAGAGCUCCUCCAGCCUCGGGUUUGCACACCAGCGUGGGACACCACGGCCACCACUACCCAAUCACCCGAAUGCCAUCCCCACUGCCAUCAUGGCCACAGCCCAGGGUCUCCUGUGAGCCCUGUAGGACAGACAGAUCUGAGCCUUGGCCAGGUCUUGGGGAUCCGCUCUCCAGGACCCUAGAGGCGUGCCGUGAGAGGCCUGGGGGAAGCGCACAGAAGACAGGGCGGAGCCCCGGGUCCACUUGUGCAAAGCCACACACAGACGGAAACCAAGUCUCUUCCCCAUUGGACUGGAGGCUCUGUAGAGAAAUGAAAUAAAAAGUGGGAGAAGCAACACUUCACAUCCUGGACACUGAGCUGCUCCGGGGAAGGUGUUGCUUACCACACAGGUGAUGGCAAGGUGGCCAGAGCGUCACAGACCCCCGAGUGUGUCCCUGUGGCAACUCAAGCCCUGCGAGGGUCACAGCUGCACAUUCCCACCCCCAGGCCUGCUCUGAGCUUCCCCUCCAUUGCCUGCGGCUGUGGGGCCCGACUUUGUGGGCCUGGGUCGCGGCCUGGCAGCCUCCGCCCAUUGCACAGACCCCGGUUGCCGCUCCUGGCUUCUCCAGGCCCCAGGUGCCAGAGCCCUCUUGGGUCCCCCGAGCCCUGGGAUAGGUCUAUGGGAUCCCUUGUCACUCUCAGAAGCCCCUCUGUGCAGAGCGUCAUGUCUGUGCGGGAAUGCGCCGCGUGACAGCCAUCUCUCCUAUCACUUCUGAGAACCACGCAGCCAGAGGCCCUAGCUGAGCCUCAGUUUUUUCAUCUAUUCUGUGGGAAAAUAAUGCCCCAGGCUUUUUUGUUGCUGAUAGACAGGGUCUGGCUAUGUAGCCUAGGAUGGGCUCAAACUUGCAGCAAUCCUCCUGCCUCAGCCUCCCAGAGUGCUAGCAUUACUGGUGUGCACCACUG